GGAUAAUCUACCCUUAGGACCGGGAUAACCCUGGGAAACUGGGGAUAAUACUGGAUAGGCAAUUAUUCCUGUAAUGGUUUUUUGUUUAAAUGUUUUUUCGCCUAAGGAUGAGUCUGCGGCCGAUUAGGUAGUUGGUUAGGUAAUGGCUUACCAAGCCGUUGAUCGGUACGGGUUGUGAGAGCAAGAGCCCGGAGAUGGAACCUGAGACAAGGUUCCAGGCCCUACGGGGUGCAGCAGGCGCGAAACCUCCGCAAUGUGAGAAAUCGCGACGGGGGGAUCCCAAGUGCCAUUCUUAACGGGAUGGCUUUUCAUUAGUGUAAAGAGCUUUUGGAAUAAGAGCUGGGCAAGACCGGUGCCAGCCGCCGCGGUAACACCGGCAGCUCUAGUGGUAACAAUUUUUAUUGGGCCUAAAGCGUCCGUAGCCGGUUUAAUAAGUCUCUGGUGAAAUCCUGCAGCUUAACUGUGGGAAUUGCUGGAGAUACUAUUAGACUUGAGACCGGGAGAGGUUAGAGGUACUCCCAGGGUAGAGGUGAAAUUCUGUAAUCCUGGGAGGACCGCCUGUUGCGAAGGCGUCUAACUGGAACGGUUCUGACGGUGAGGGACGAAAGUUAGGGGCGCGAACCGGAUUAGAUACCCGGGUAGUCCUAACUGUAAACGAUGCGGACUUGGUGUUGGGGUGGCUUUGAGCUGCUUCAGUGCCGAAGGGAAGCUGUUAAGUCCGCCGCCUGGGAAGUACGGUCGCAAGACUGAAACUUAA
rnacentral:rRNA from 1 species